GACAGAGGGGACAAGCGUUGCUCGGAAUCACUGGGCGUAAAGGGCGCGUAGGCGGGAUGGCAAGUCGGUCGUGAAAUCCUUCGGCUCAACCGAAGAACGUCGGCCGAUACUGCCGUUCUUGAGGGAUGCAGAGGAGAUUGGAAUUCCCGGUGUAGCGGUGAAAUGUGUAGAGAUCGGGAGGAACACCGGUGGCGAAGGCGGGUCUCUGGGCAUUUCCUGACGCUGAGGCGCGAAAGCGUGGGGAGCAAACGGG
rnacentral:rRNA from 1 species